rnacentral:rRNA from 1 species
UACGUAGGGGGCAAGCGUUGUCCGGAAUCAUUGGGCGUAAAGAGCGUGUAGGCGGCCAGAAAAGUCCGCUGUGAAAACUCGAGGCUCAACUUCGAGCUGUCGGUGGAAACUUUCUGGCUAGAGUCCGGAAGAGGAGAAUGGAAUUCCUGGUGUAGCGGUGAAAUGCGCAGAUAUCAGGAAGAACACCCGUGGCGAAGGCGGUUCUCUGGGCCUUACCUGACGCUCAGGCGCGAAAGCUAGGGGAGCGAACUGG